UGUUUUCCAGGAACUCGAAUCAUUUAUGACAGAAAGUUUCUGUUGGAUCGUCGCAAUUCUCCCAUGGCUCAGACCCCACCCUGCCAUCUGCCCAAUAUCCCAGGAGUCACUAGCCCUGGCACCUUAAUUGAAGACUCCAAAGUAGAAGUAAACAAUUUGAACAACUUGAACAAUCACGACAGGAAACAUGCAGUUGGGGAUGAUGCUCAGUUCGAGAUGGACAUCUGACUCCCCUGCAAGGAUUAGAAGAAAAGCAACACUGAUACUUGUGUGCACCUGAUUUGGCUAAUAGGAUCAACAGUGAAAAGACAGAAGAGGCAAUACCAGCAGUCCCCAUUACAGUCUCCACCUCCCCCUCUUCCUCUGGGUGCCAAAUGAUGGGAAGAUGAGCUUCAUCUGACCAUUUCUUCUCCCUGUCUCCUGUUCCCCUUCCCAGUUAAACAGGUUAGAUUGAAGGCUGUGUUUCUGUAGAGCUAAGCAGCCCUUAGAGGACAACAGUUCAACUCUGACUUUCCUAGUUGUUCUUUUAUUGAGAGCCACCCUCCUACCCUGUAAUUUUGUCCCACAUCGAAUCUCAACCUAUCAACAACUGCCUGUCUGGGAAGGGAUACAGAGGUUUGGUGGGCCUAACACCAUUCAUGUUCCUUACCCUCUGUCUCUCCUCCCUCUAUCCCACCUAUGGUUCAGUGUUGCAAGAGUCUGGGCUUGGGAUCUUUACAACCAGCAGGGGGAAAUGAUAAAAAAGAGAGCUGCUUUCCCUUUUACCUUGAGGUAUUUGUCCCUCGGGACAGAGCACAGCUUGUGCAACUCUAGUAGCAUUACCUUGUGACACUGUUUUGAGGUCCACUCACUUUCUUUCCUCUGGGAGGAAUGUCUUCUGUCUUUGGUAUUAUAGUUCAUCUUCCUGUCCUUUUACUUAGUGCAUUUGUGCAGAUAUUUUUAACUCUGUACAUCAGAAGAGAGCCCUUGGUAACCAGUUUUGCUCUUCUUCUGCCACUCUUCCCUGCUUGCAUCUUGUUGCUGGCAGAGUCCUCUUGUACUUCAAGAAAGCGAAGUGAUUUUGUCUGCUCCUAAAGCAGGUCCAUACCAAGUAAUAGAAGCACUUUAGCCUCUACUUGGUGGGUAAAGCCUGAUCAUAGUAUUCUGUCAGAUAAUGCCUAAGAAUGACCUCUGAAGAACGUUGACCCAUUUGAGUACCCGGUCUCAGUUGUCAUUUUUAAGUCCAGUGAGCAUUGUGAUAGUUGUUCUUAGAUUGCAGUUCCUUAUGUUUUGAGUUUGAAGUUGAUUUUCAGAAUGUUCUUAGAAAAGAACUGCAUUUUUUCCUUUGUGGAUCUGCUUUGUUUGGCUGCUGGAAUAGAUAAGCAUGGGCUUAAAAAAUGUGUUCCUCCCAGUUUUCUUGCCUUUCCUGUUGUAUUCUGAAUUUCUCUCCCUACCUUCCUCACUUUCUUCCUCUCUCCUUCCUUUCCUUCCUUUUUCUCUACCAGGCCAUUUUUCAAAUUUACAUCAAAGAUACCUCAGGUGUUGGUAUCUGAGAAUAUCUGUCACUCCUCUUACCUGAGAAGUGACCUUUUAUUUUUAAGAUGACUACAGACCUAUUUUUAGAUAUGUUUUCAGUACAAUUUUGAACAGCAACUUUUUAAUUAAACAUCUUCCAGUGUUAGGAAGAUGAGAAAUGUUCAUAGGCGAGUCUGCUGUUCUAUGUCACCAUCUUUUGUCUCCCCUAGUCCCCCAGGAGCUCUUUCCUUUCCCCUCUAGUUUUGAGUGUGCAUGUUUGGAGUUUGUAGUGGGUGGUUUGUAAAACUGGACCAUUCUGCCUUGCUAUGGGUUGUUCAUGAAAGCCUCAUUCUUUUCUCUGACCCUUUAGCUUUUGCAUUCACCCUCCUUCCCACCUACCUCUCCUGGAACUAUUGAGCAGCAUAAUAAUCCCGGGAGAAUGAUUCCCCUCAUAGAAAGACUAAAGCAUCCAUCCCCUUAUAGUUAAGUAGCCACUGGUGUCCUGGGAAUUUCUGGUUAGAUUUGGUGCCCUGAACUUUUUUAUUAAGAAAUCAGAUCCCAGGGUGAGAGUAACAGCCAUUUGGCCAAGAAAGAAACCUGUUUUUCUUUUGAACUCUGAAAAGACCCUGUUUGUGAAUACAUUUUAGAAAGAAGAGAGAAAGGAUGUCUGCAGAACUUUGUUCUGUUUUCUGCUACAAAGAUGUGAAUAGUUCAGAGUGAAAACCUUUUGUGAUGGUUGAUGUCUCAGGAAUAAGCUGGAUCUCCAAUGUUUUGGGGAUGCUUUGAGUCUCAAAAAAAUUGAUAAUCAGAAAAGUAUUUUUUGUUUGUUUGUUUAAUGUAUCCCUGUUCUGUUUAAUUAAACUCCAAGUCUCAUUUUACAUAUUCUUGGAAAAACCUAAGUUGCGCUGUAAUUUACAUAAGAAGCAUGCUCAGGACCUCUCUGCACCCUGGGGAGCCUGAUUCUUUGGGAAUGAAGCUUUUCGUUCUUCAUACACUGGCCUUGGCAUCCUGUGGAAUUUGACCCAACUAGCAGCUAGUCAGUCCGUCAGUGAGCGGAAGAGUGAACUCUUCUUGAUCUUUAUUGCUAUGUGUGAAAACUUGGCUUCCUCACUAAUUGGUGGGGAAUGGAUUUAAAGCAUGAGCUUUAGUAGUAUCAAGAUGCCAUUUUCCUUUUUCUUGCCGUCUUGGGGAGCUUCUGCAUGUGACCCCCUAAUCAGAAGGCAUGUUUUUAGUAUUUCUUGGGAGUGUCAGCUGUAUAAUGCGGCAGCUGUUCAAUCCCUUACCCUUCUCUGCAAGGACUUCCUUAAGGCUUGGUGCAGUUCUUUCCCAGAGGCCACCACUACUAGACAGUCUGUGACCUCCAUAAGUUGGCAUUUAAAAAAUUUCACAGGGCAUGAGAUAAACUUCCAAUAGAUGAUACCUUUGUGUCAUGCCUCAUAGAAUUAUUUUUAGAACAAGCCAGAGUCCAUUGGGUGGUUUGCCUCUGCAUGUUUGGAGGGAACCUCACAGAUGAAACCCUUAAUGAAUGUGUCCUGGGUUUUUUAGAGGGAAGGAAUACUCUUACCACUUUGACUGAGACAGCUCUUAACAUCUUAGUUUCCAUUUGUAGUUUUUACGAGGAAUCCAUGCUUCUAUACUUGUGGGGACAAUUGAUCUUAAUGAGAAGUGACUUUCCUUCAAAUUCCAACAGCAGACAUGCAUUGUCAUGGUUCUGCCUUCUUUAUAGUGUGGUUUAUUGAGUUCAGCAGUUCUCAUAUGCUGUUUAAAUAGGUACAGCAUUUUCAAGGGCACAGAUAGAGAGAAACUGACUUUCUAGGCGUUGGGCUUCCAAGCCAAGAGUUUUGUCCUUCCACCUGUAUUAGUUAUCUAUUGCUGUGUAACAAAUUACCCUAAAUUUAGUAUGUUAAAAUAGUAAACAUUAUGUGUCAGUUUCUGUGGGUUAAGAAUUUGGGAGUAGUUUAACAUGAUGGUUCUGGCCCAGGGUAUUAUGAAGUUACAGUCAAGAUGUGAGCAGGGGCUGCAGUCAGCUGGAGCUGGAGAAACCACUUCCAAGUUCUCUUUUUGUGGCCGUUGGCAGGAUGCCUCAGUUUCUUCCCAUGUGGGUCUCUGCAUAAGGCACCUGGCUUCUCCCUGAGCAGCUGAUCCCAGAGAUCGUGGGGCAGGGCCAGGAGAAAGCUGCAGUGCCUUUUAAGACAUAGUCUUGGAAAGGACACACCAUCACUUCUUAUCCUAGUCUUUAGAAGCAAGCCACUAAGCUCAGCCUGCACUCAAGGAGAGAGGAAUUACACAUACCUCUACCCCAGUGGAGCAGUAGCAAAUAAUAUAUGGACAUAUCUUAAAAGCACCACACCCCAACUGAGGAUGAAAGUAGGUCAACAGGGAGGUAGGUUUAAUGUAGAUAGGCUGAAAGACAGAUGGCUAUCAAAAACAAUUCUCCAAAAUGUGCAUAACCAAACUGGGACAGAAGGCAGACUCCCCAAAGCUACCUGCUGGUUUUGAGAGGGUGGUAAGAAAUGGCAAUUCCUAGCAGUAGUAGAAAAUAAUAUGCCUAACUACCAACAGCUGAAGUAUGCUUAUUUGCACGUCCUAGACUUGGUGUCCGUAAGACUCAUUUACCACUUAUUUGCCUGUAGCUAGGAAUUAAUGAAAGGAACUGGGGCCUUCCAGCUGAGCCACUAAACCUGUCUUGUUUGGAAUGGCGAUUGUCCAGCAAAGGGUGCAAACAUGAAUUAGAUGUUAAGCUAUUGAGCUGAAGAAAAGAAAGCAGUUCACAUUUAGGUGAAAUAGAUGAUGUUAUCAGGAAGCCAGGUUCCCACGAGAGUGGGUGCUUGGUACCUGGUCUCUCCAGUCUCAACAGACUCAGGUCAGGUCUCUCACCCAGGAAGCAACCACUCAAUAAAAUAGGGAACAUCUAAGAAUGACAAAUGUCAGUGCUUGAUUGCUCCUCUAAAUCCAGUGCACAGGUUAACCCUGCAUGCCCGCCCAUCUCUUCCUGGGCUUCUUGAUGGCAAUGUGUUCUUAAAGAACUGGUCUUGUGUUCUCCCUGAAGACAAACUUAAGUUUUUCAGUUCAACACAUUCUAGUGAAUGGCUACUAUGUGUUUCUGGCACUCAUUCCUAACCAAGUCUUCUUUCUUUUCUUUUCUUUUCUUUUCUUGCUUCUCUCUUUUUUUUUUUUUUUUUUUUCCCUGAGGCAACAGUUGCGCCCUGUCGCCCAGGCUGGAGUGCUGGAGUGCAGUGGUGUGGUCUCGGCUCACUGCAGCUUCUGCCUCCCAGGUUCAAGUGUUUCUCCUGCCUCAGCCUUCUGAGUAGCUGGGAUUACAGGCAUGUACCACCACGCCUGGCUAAUUUUUAAUUUUUGUAUUUUUAGUAGAGACGGGGUUUCAUCGUGUUUGCCAGGCUGGUCUUGAACUUCUGGCCUCAAGUGAUCCACCCACCUCAGCCUCCCAGAGUGCUGGAAUUACAGGUGUGAGCCAUUAUACCCGGCCAAAUAUGCAAAUUCUUGUUUAGAUUUAUGCUCUGUCUCUUCCCAGCUUUUUCUUAUCUGUAGCCCUGCUUGCUUGAGAGUAUACUUGGAUAAGAAGUACUGCUAUUGAGGGAGCUAUAAGAAAAGGAUACUUCUUCCAGAAGUAAAUAACUCAUCUUUAGAGUACCCUUAAAUGAAUUUUGUUUUUCUUUCUUAUUUUGAGGUGGAUUGGUCUUCUCUUUUUUUGGGUUUCCAGCUCUUUGAGACUCUCAGACCUUAUCUUUCCAGCUCAAACACCAUUGGUUAAAUUCCCUCAUUCUCAUUAGAAUGCAGCCUGCUGAGUAUGUGGGUUUCACUGCCGGAGUCCGUCCAUUAGCCAGUAUACAUAGAGGGCCUGCUUCAAAUCAAGGCAACUGGUGAAGGGCUCAGCAUGUUGGCAGCAGUAUCCAAGAGAUUGAAUCUAUUUCCAUUUUCCUCAUCUAGAAUAACAGCUGCUUGAAGCCAGGGCUCUUAGCCCUUUGCAUUCCCCUUUAGAGAGGAAGCCACACUGCCUUUCUGUGUCUGGUUCAGAGCUCUUCCUUCUUGACAUGUUUUCUGGACUACAUGCACAUGGGCAGCUACUGAUUAAUCUGCAAAACCCAGUCACUUGCCUACCCAUAAUAUCUGGGAAGGCUUGGUAUUUGUUUUAAAGAAACGUUUCUUUGGGAGGGCAGUUUCUGUCUGGACUUUGAGGUGGACUUAGUUAUCCCUACAGUUCCUUUAACUCUCAGCUUUUAAUAAAAGAUGAAAUCAGAUAUUGAUGCAGUUGGGUCACAAUUCUUUAGGAUGCUUCUACCCCAGGGCUGCUUCCUGUUCCUAGUCAUGGUUUUCCAGUUUAGUAGUGGAGUUUCUUGAGGCUAACUUACAGAAAUUUCUAACUGAAAACUUUAAGAGUUAUUGAUACUUACUUGUUUUUUCAGUUAAUCAUUUACAUCACCUUUCCUACUCUCUGGAAUUUAAAUUUAUUUCUCUAGGCUGGUCCUGGAAGUUGAUAACCUUUUGGCAAAGCUUAGAUUUAGGAGAAGGCUUAUGAGUCCCUGUCCAGAGGGUCUGUAGAUUCUCUUUGCUUAUGACUCUCUGCCUGCAGCCCUGGCAGACCAUACUGUAUAUCAUGGAUACCCAAUGGAAAUAUUACUGAGAUGAAACACAUUUCCCAGGGUAUUUAAACUCUCACUCUGCCACCUUUCUAAGGGUGGGAGGCUGGCAGAGAGAUGCUGCAAUGCUUGAUAAUCAUUUGGCCACACUGAAAUUUCCAAAGGGAGCUCUUGCCGGUGCUUAAAACCAAAACACCUGGACACUUAGAAAAUUCCAUGAAUCUAGCACAAAAUAUCCAUUCUUGCCCAAGUGUAUCCCCUUUCUCUCCAGCUUAAUCUUUUUUUUUAAAGCCCAGGCCAAGGGUACUUUUAACUGGAAACCAGGGGAGGAGGGAAGAACACUAGCAGGGAGCUAAGAGGCAGGUUGCUGGGUAAGCCAUCCUGCUCCUACCUGGUGCCUGUAUCUGAAUUGCUGAGUGCCGUGCGCCAGUGCCUUUCCUUCACCUGCAGAUGGAGCCCAUCUCUUUCCACCUGGGUGAGGAGACCCUCUGCUACUCCAGGGGUAAACCUUAAAGAAGGUGUCUUGAAGAGCCCAAAGGACACUCACAUGCUAAGGUGUCCGUUUUAUGCAUCUUUAAAAUAUUUUAUUUAAGAAAAAAAAUAGCCCUGCCCUGUCUUAGUGCCACUAAUGGCCCAGUUCCAUCCAUUCUGAAUGGAAAAGCAGAGACUGCCAGCACUUUCCUUGGUCUUCCCUUUGUCUCCCAUGAUGUGUUGUCCCCUCAUCCCUCCCAUCCAUUUCACUGUGUGUGGAUGGAUAGCAGAGGGUACCACGCAGUCCUUGAGGCAGUCCUGUGUGAUUCCAUGAUCAGUUGUUUUUGUAUUCUAACUAUCCUUCCAAACCAGCAGAUGUUUGGAAAUUAGGGAAAAAAUUAAAUUCUCAUCAAUGGUUGCUGUUAUAGUUAAAUCAAUAAAGAUCUUGAAUAUCAA